GCACAUGAGUUGGGGCAUUGGAAGCUAAACCAUACAAUGUACUCAUUCAUUGCUUUACAGAUUCUUACACUUUUGCAAUUUGGGGGAUAUACCUUGGUGAGGAAUUCCAGUGAUUUGUUUCGAAGUUUUGGGUUUGAUACUCAGCCAGUGCUUAUUGGACUCAUCAUAUUUCAGCACACUGUAAUACCUCUCCAGCACCUGGUAAGCUUUGGUCUCAACCUUGUGAGCCGAUCUUUUGAGUUCCAGGCUGAUGCCUUUGCAAAGAAACUUGGUUAUUCCGCAGCUCUUCGUGCUGGUCUUGUCAAACUGCAGGAGGAAAAUUUGUCUGCAAUGAAUACAGAUCCCUGGUAUUCAGCAUAUCACUAUUCUCAUCCU
rnacentral:misc_RNA from 1 species